GAGCUCUCUUUCUGGACUCCUACCGAUUGCUCUCAGACCUUUCAGGAAAGGAGCAAGCUAGCACCGGUACACAAUGUGGCUGGCCCAAGAGCCCUUAGCAAAACAGACUUCCUCUUUUUAGAAACCCAUUCCUAAUCCUGGAUCCAGUCACUCUCCUCAUCUCUGCUAGGCUCCCAUUUGAUAGGGGAACCUCCAGCUCUCUAAGGGCUCUUUACUAACCUGACGUCAACUGGCAUCAAAACCAUCAAUUAAAGACAUCAUCUGAAUUUCUUCCCUACACCAGGCCCCAGGCUGGGGGCUGAGGACACAGAGAUGACCCAGCACACAGCCUGUGAACCAAAUGGCCCACAGCUGUCGAAGUAAAGGACACCCAAUGUGCACUCAGUGUAAGAAGUUGAGUCUUGGGGGCUGGAGAGAUGGCUCAGUGACUAAGAGCACUGACUGCUCUUCCAGAGGUCCUGAGUUCAAUUCCCAGCAACCACAUGGUGGCUCACAACCAUCUGUGAUGAGAUCUGAUGCCCUCUUCUGGUGUGUCUGAAGACAGCUACAGUAUAUUCAUAUACAUAAACUAAAUAAUUCUAAAAAAAAAAAUCUUAAAAAAAAAAAAAA
rnacentral:lncRNA from 1 species